AGAAAGACUAUGAAGGGAAGAGUAAGCAAGCAGAAUAGGCCUAAAGAGAGCCGGAAAAGGUGAAAGCCGGCGCCGAAGACCUUGCUGAAGAUGGCCCCGGAGUUUGGUCGUCGAUAUGUAGACGACUGCGGUGAAGGACCGUUAUAAUCCUUCAGGUAUCGGAAUAGUGGCUGAAAGCCUGUCCAUUUACUUUAUUCCCGUACUUGGCAAAGGCCUUUAACCAGGCGAAUUUGGGUGGUACCGCGAGAAUGCCUCGCCCCUUAC
rnacentral:ncRNA from 1 species